UCAGGGUUAUUUGCAAUGAGGAGUUGCUUGAGUUCCCAAACUGUCGCAGGGUUCCCAAGCCCAUGACAGUUCCAGCAAAAAACACUUCAUUGCUCUUGGUGGGGCUGGUCACCAGCCACCGCCGUGCAAGGUGAAAGACUGUCCACAAAUUUCCUUCGAACCAAUCUAGUAAGACUCUCCUCGUUGUUUUCCCCAUUACUCUAUUUUGUUCUUUUUCUUUUACAUUUCAUUCUGCCCCCUCCAUCACGUACUGAUUUUGUUGGACACUUCUCCAUAAGGGAGCAACAUUCUGAUUCCUCUU
rnacentral:lncRNA from 1 species